GGCGGCGUGCUAAUACAUGCAAGUCGAGCGAGCUUGCCUAGAUGAUUUUAGUGCUUGCACUAAAUGAAACUAGAUACAAGCGAGCGGCGGACGGGUGAGUAACACGUGGGUAACCUGCCCAAGAGACUGGGAUAACACCUGGAAACAGAUGCUAAUACCGGAUAACAACACUAGACGCAUGUCUAGAGUUUGAAAGAUGGUUCUGCUAUCACUCUUGGAUGGACCUGCGGUGCAUUAGCUAGUUGGUAAGGUAACGGCUUACCAAGGCAAUGAUGCAUAGCCGAGUUGAGAGACUGAUCGGCCACAUUGGGACUGAGACACGGCCCAAACUCCUACGGGAGGCAGCAGUAGGGAAUCUUCCACAAUGGACGAAAGUCUGAUGGAGCAACGCCGCGUGAGUGAAGAAGGGUUUCGGCUCGUAAAGCUCUGUUGGUAGUGAAGAAAGAUAGAGGUAGUAACUGGC
rnacentral:rRNA from 1 species